rnacentral:rRNA from 1 species
GGAUUCCCCCAGUAGCGGCGAGCGAAAGGGACCAGCCCAAUAGCCGAAUCCCGCGCCCCUUGGGCGUCGGGAAAUGUGGCGUAUGGGAGUUGAGAUCCAUUCCGCGCGCGGAGGGCGGCCCAAGUCCCCAUGAACGGGGCCAASACCGGAGCGGGUGCGASUCCCGUACGGCCGUCCUUUGCGCGUUGAUCGGCGUUCUCCCGGGAGUCGGGUUGCUUGAAAGUGCASCCCAAAGKGGGKGGUAUGCUCCACCUAAGGCUAAAUAUCCCCGARAGACCGAUAGCAAAAAAGUACCGUGAGGGAAAGUUGAAAAGAACUUUGAAGAGAGAGUUCAAUAKUACGUGAAACCGCUUAGAGGGAAACGGGUGGSCCCUCGAAGUCUGAAGGCGGAACGGUUCGUUGGGGCCUGCGGGCACCGGCACACUCCUGUUCCGCCGGUAAGAGGCCGCGACUGGUCGGUCGAGGGUCGGAAGGACGGCCGGGCGAAAAGGUGGCCCGCCCCC